AUUGGCACCUAUUUGGGAGAGGUUUUUUAAGGGGCAUCAGGGGUUUUAUUCAAUUUAUAUUCAUUCAUUGCCAUCAUUUGAGGCUGAUUUCCCAGCCUCGUCAGUGUUUUACAAGAGGCAAAUUCCCAGCCAGUAGGCGACAGAAUGGGGAAAGAUGAGUAUGUGUGAUGCCGAGAGAAGACUCCUUGCAAAUGCAUUGCUCGACAUCUCCAACGAGUGGUUUGUUCUGCUUUCUGAGUCAUGCAUUCCGCUCUACAAUUUCAAUGUCAUCUACAAGCACAUAAGUCGGUCAAAGCAUAGCUUUGUUGGUGCAUUUGAUGAUCCUGGACCAUAUGGAAGAGGACGUUAUGAU
rnacentral:misc_RNA from 1 species